rnacentral:rRNA from 1 species
AGAGUUUGAUCAUGGCUCAGAACGUACGCUGGCGGCACGCCUAACACAUGCAAGUCGAACGAAGUAGCAAUACUUAGUGGCAGACGGGUGAGUAACAUGUAGGUAUCUGCCCUUUGGCCUGGAAUAACACGAGGAAACUUGUGCUAAUACCGGAUAAGUCUUUGCGGAGAAAGCUUUAUGCACCAUUGGAUGAGCCUGCACUUGAUUAGUUUGUUGGUAGGGUAAUGGCCUACCAAGACUAUGAUCAAUAGCUGAUUUGAGAGGAUGAUCAGCCACAUUGGGACUGAGACACGGCCCAAACUCCUACGGGAGGCAGCAGUGGGGAAUCUUGCACAAUGGAGGAAACUCUGAUGCAGCGAUGCCGCGUGAGUGAAGAAGGCCUUUGGGUUGUAAAGCUCUUUCGUCGGGGAAGAAAAUGACUGUACCCGAAUAAGAAGGUCCGGCUAACUUCGUGCCAGCAGCCGCGGUAAUACGAAGGGACCUAGCGUAGUUCGGAAUUACUGGGCUUAAAGAGUUCGUAGGUGGUUGAAAAAGUUGGUGGUGAAAUCCCAGAGCUUAACUCUGGAACUGCCAUCAAAACUUUUCAGCUAGAGUAUGAUAGAGGAAAGCAGAAUUUCUAGUGUAGAGGUGAAAUUCGUAGAUAUUAGAAAGAAUACCAAUUGCGAAGGCAGCUUUCUGGAUCAUUACUGACACUGAGGAACGAAAGCAUGGGUAGCGAAGAGGAUUAGAUACCCUCGUAGUCCAUGCCGUAAACGAUGUGUGUUAGACGUUGGAAAUUUAUUUUCAGUGUCGCAGCGAAAGCGAUAAACACACCGCCUGGGGAGUACGACCGCAAGGUUAAAACUCAAAUGAAUUGACGGGGACCCGCACAAGUAGUGGAGCAUGUGGUUUAAUUCGAAGAUACGCGCAGAACCUUACCAACACUUGACAUGUUCGUCGCGACUCUAAGAGAUUAGAGUUUUCGGUUCGGCCGGACGAAACACAGGUGCUGCAUGGCUGUCGUCAGCUCGUGUCGUGAGAUGUUGGGUUAAGUCCCGCAACGAGCGCAACCCUCACUUUUAGUUGCCAUCAUUAAGUUGGGCACUCUGAAAGAACUGCCAGUGAUAAGCUGGAGGAAGGUGGGGAUGACGUCAAGUCCUCAUGGCCCUUACGUGUUGGGCUACACACGUGCUACAAUGGCAUCUACAACAGGAAGCAAAACGGCAACGUUAAGCAAAUCCCAAAAAGAUGCCUCAGUUCGGAUUGCACUCUGCAACUCGAGUGCAUGAAGCUGGAAUUACUAGUAAUCGUGGAUCAGCGUGCCACGGUGAAUGCGUUCCCGGGUCUUGUACACACCGCCCGUCACACCAUGGGAGUUGGUUCUACCUUAAGGCAAGGUUUCAAACCCUUGACCACGGUAUAGUCAGCGACUGGGGUGAAGUCGUAACAAGGUA